rnacentral:rRNA from 1 species
GACGGAGGGUGCUAGCGUUGUUCGGAAUCACUGGGUUUAAAGGGUGCGUAGGCUGCUGCAUAAGUCAGGGGUGAAAGUUUGUCGCUUAACGAUAGAAUUGCCUUUGAUACUGUGCGGCUUGAAAUUAGGUGAGGUUGGCGGAAUGUGACAUGUAGCGGUGAAAUGCGUAGAUAUGUCAUAGAACACCGAUUGCGAAGGCAGCUGGCUAACCUAAAUUUGACGCUGAGGAACGAAAGCGUGGGUAGCAAACAGG